UCGAACGGUCUCUUCGGAGAUAGUGGCGGACGGGUGAGUAACGCGUGAGAAUCUGCCCUUUGGUUGGGGACAACGACUGGAAACGGUCGCUAAUACCCAAUGUGCCGGAAGGUAAAAGCUUUAGUGCCAAAGGAUGAGCUCGCGUCAGAUUAGGUAGUUGGAGUGGUAAUGGCACACCAAGCCUGUGAUCUGUAGCUGGUCUGAGAGGAUGAUCAGCCACACUGGGACUGAGACACGGCCCAGACUCCUACGGGAGGCAGCAGUGGGGAAUUUUCCGCAAUGGGCGAAAGCCUGACGGAGCAAGACCGCGUGGGGGAGGAAGGUUUGUGGACUGUAAACCCCUUUUAUCAGAGAAGAAUCAAUGACGGUAUCUGAUGAAUCAGCCUCGGCUGACUCCGUGCCAGCAGCCGCGGUAAUACGGAGGAGGCAAGCGUUA
rnacentral:rRNA from 1 species